rnacentral:tRNA from 1 species
CGGAGCGUGGCGCAGCCUGGUAGCGCACCUGCUUUGGGAGCAGGGGGUCGCCGGUUCGAAUCCGGCCGCUCCGACCA